AUUGAACGCUGGCGGCAUGGCUAAAACAUGCAAGUCGAACGAUCCCUUCGGGGAGAGUGGCGAAAGGGCGAGGAAUAGAAUCGAAUGUACCCCAAGGUGGGGGAUAGCCUCUGGAAACGGAGGGUAAUACCCCAUGUGCUCUACGGAGGAAAGGUUUACCGCCUUGGGAGCAGCGAUUCUCCUAUCAGGUAGUUGGUGAGGUAACGGCUCACCAAGCCGAAGACGGGUAGCGGGUGUGAGAGCAUGACCCGCCGCAUCGGGACUGAGACACUGCCCGGACUCCUACGGGAGGCUGCAGUAACGAAUCUUCCGCAAUGGGCGAAAGCCUGACGGAGCAAUGCCGCGUGUGGGAUGAAGCAUCUUCGAUGUGUAAACCACUGUCAGGGUCUAGGAAUACUGACCAGACCCAAAGGAAGGGCCGGUCGUAAUUCCGUG
rnacentral:rRNA from 1 species